UUUUCAUUGAUCUUUGUUACUUUUGAUGGUUUCCAUCACCCGAGGGAGCAAAUCGUUUGUGUUUACUUUGUUUUGUGCUUCAUUGCCAAUUGAUUUCUCUGGAUGGAAUGUUCAUGUUUUGCAUUGUAAGAACUCAUGGUAAAUCUUUUUGUUGAGCAAAUCGGUUCUGUAUAUUCAGUUAUCUUAUGAGUCUUGAAUCAGAACAGCUUUUGUAGAAAACAGAUUUGUAUACUCAAUGAAUUGAUUUAUUAUCUGUAGAAAACCUUACAAUCACUCAAAAACAAAAUUGAAACAAUGUACACACUGUUUUUGUAUCGCAGGUAAAGUCUUCAAGUAUGUGGGGAAAGCUUGGAACAAUGCUUAUCUGUUUUCGUGCCAUCAAGUUUUCUUGCUGAAGAACAAUACAUCAGAGAGUGAUCCAGAGGAGUUGAUGGGAGAACGAAGCGGUGAAACUAUGUGACUAUGCAUUGUUGAAGCUAUUGGAGAACGUAUUUGUGAAGCCAUCAGGUAAUGCAGCGGAGAACCAAUGGGAGUAUGAAUUGGUGAAGUGAGAGGUGAUCGUAGAGGUGAAUUUUGCGUUUGGUAUAACGCAUGACGCAAACCCACAAUUUCAGAAGGCUCCGUUGUGCUGUAGAUGUGAUCAUGUUGUUCAAAGGUUAGACUUAACUUCUCAUUCUCUUUCUGCAAAUGUUCUAAUUGUUCUUCCACUAUCUCCUCUUCAGUGUCACUAUCUAGUUCUGCCAUUUUACUUGGAAAUUCAUGGCCUUCUGAAAAUACGUCUGAAUCUUUUUCAGCAUCACCUUGUUUAAAGGUCUGCCUUAGACUUUCUUGCUUAUCUUGAGACAUCUUUAAAUGAAACGUCAUCCUUUCUUGCUCAAGUGUGUCAUCAAGACUGAGCCUGAAUAUAUCAUCCCUUGGUUCAAGUGUCUCGUCCAAAUCCAUUUUUCCAUUUUCGCCUUUCUCCAACUGCAGCGAUGAUCCAUCUUCUGCCAUUACGCCUACUUUUAGCGCUUUGGUUUCAUAAUCAUCCACCAGCCAAGACCCAUCCUCGUGAAGUACAGCUCUCUCUUUUGAACUUCCACGAUCAUUGAAGGAACCCCUUGAACUAGAUUCUGAUCUUCCAUCAGCAUCCUCGUCUGCUUCAAGCUUUGUCUCUACCUCAUACCCAUGGCGACGAAACGUUAAAGUUCUCCCUGACGUCCAUUCAAAUGUCUCAUCCAGUUUCAUUGAUUCAUUUCCGCAUUCCUCCAAGUGCAGUGAUACUGUAUCUUUUGCCAUUUCGCCUACUUGUACAGCUUCGGUUCUGCCAUCAAUCACCAGCUGGGGAUCCUCCUCAUUUAACAACUCUCUUGGAAUUUCAUGAUCAUUGAAGGAACCCUUUGAACUAUAUUCUGAUCUUUCAUCAACGUCGUUGUCUGAUUCAAGCAUUUCCCCUAGCUCAUACUCAGGUAGACGAAAUGUUGGAGCUCUUUCUGAAGUCCAUUCAAGUGUCUCUUCCAAUUUCAUUGUUUCGUUUUCAAAUUUCGUCAGGUGCAGCGAUGGUUCAUCUUCCACCAUUACACCAACUUUUAGAGCUUCCGUUCUGUUCUCAUCCACUAGCCAGGGCUCCUCCUCAUGAGACACAGCUAUCCCUUUUAAAUUUUCAUGGUCAUUAAAGGAAUCCCGUGAACUGGUUAUUGAUCUUUCAUUAGCAUCCUCUUCUGGUUCAGGCACUGUCCAUCGUUCAUACUCAUGCAGAUGAAAUGCUGCAGCUUUUUCAGAAGUCCAUUCAAAUGGAUUGCUAUUAUAUUCCUCUAACUUCAACCCCGCUCCAUCUCCCAUUGUCUCUGCCCAUGAAUUUUCACUUUCACAUCUGCUUCCUUCCGGAUAAACCGGUUCUUUUGUUCCGUAGGAAUUUUCCAUAUCUUCAUUUUGAGACUCCAUUUGAUGAGAUACCGAGCUGUCUUCAUUCUUUUUGCUUAUGAAAGUUUCACCCGCCUUCUCAACAGGAACAACAGAUCCAUCUCCAACCAUCUUACUUGGCUCAAGUGUUUCAUUUCUCUCAUAUCUAUACUCUUGUAAUUCAGACCUUGCUAUGUCAAAAACGGUGUCACUCAACUCUUGUCUUUUGCUUGAGUUCUCAUACUCAUAGUGGGACUGCUCAGGUAUAGCAACUUGAGACUCAUGAAAAACGACCCUCUCUUCUGAACCUCCAUCGUCAUUGAAGGAGCCCCGUGAACUUGAUUCUGAUCUUCCGUCAGCAUACUCGUCUGGUUCAAGUAUUGUCCCUAGCUCAUAAUCAUGCAUGCGAAAUGUUGGAGCUGUUUCUGAAGUCCAUUCAAAUGGUCUGCUGUAAUUCUCAUAGUUGCUUUCAUAUUCCUCCAAAUGUAACCCCGCUCUAUCUUCUAUUGUCCCUUCCCAUGUUCUUUCACCUGCAAACCCGCUUUCUUCUAGAUAAACCGGUUCUAAUGUUCCAUAAGAAUUUUCUACAUUCUCGUUUGGAGAAUCCAUUUGAUGAGAUACCAGUCUCUCUUCACCUGUCUUGCCUUCUAUGAUUGUUUCGAAUGCCUCGCUCACCUUCUCGAAAGAAACAAGAGAUCCAUCUUCGCCCACCUUGCUCGGCUCAAGAGUUUCAUUUGUCUCGUAUCUAGACUCCUCUAACUUACACGUGACUCUGUCACUAAUGGUCAUUUCCAACUCUUGUCUUUCGCUUAAAUUCUCAUAUUCAUACUUGGAGUGCUCCUGGAUCCUGGAUAUUGUUACUGUAGCCUCGCCUGAUUGGUCAAGAUGUCCUAUAAACCUCUGAUUCUCAUUCACCAAAGAGUUCAAGGGAGAAUGUGUUGUAGCUGACUUCGCAUCUGAAAUUGUGUUUGAUAUGUGCUCCGUAUCUUCCUUGACUGAUGUAUCCUCAAAUGGUUCACCAUAGCUUAAGCUGCUGUCACAUAUAGAAUCUCGAGUGUACCUAGAUUUAUCCAAAUGCAACUGCGGUUUGUCUCCGAUCUCUUCUAAUGUACUUUCACCUUCAUAUUCUUCAGUUUCUUGAGUCUCCUCCCAUUCAAACUCGUAAGUGUCUCCGGUAUUCUCAGACUGUACACGUGUUUCACUGACGUAUUCUUUCUUGUAUAGAAGUUCCUCACUAUGAGAUACCGAUCUCUCUGCAACUCUCUCAUCUUCUUCACUUGAUUCACUCAUCCUUUCGUUCUGGUUUACUGGAACUUCCAAGGACUCACCUGAUCCUUCUCCUACAAUUUCUUCUGGCUUAAUAAUUUCGUUCUUCUCAUAUUCAGGCUCUUCUAUAUCACAAAUGUUAUUAUCCAUCUCGGUUGACUUUUCUGAAUGAGCUUCCUGAGAUUGCUCUAGAUGAAUCUUGGAAGUCUCUCCAAUAGUCUCACUUGAUGUAGGUUGUUGCUCGCUUAAUCUGCGGUUCCCCAUAGGUUUUAGAUGAGGCUGUAAUGCCUCCAAUUUCAAAUCUAAAAAUUUGGUGGAUAUAUUCCUUAUGUCUUCUUUAAUCCCUUUAUCCUCAAAUGUUUCUAGAAUUUUUUGACUCAAUAUAACAGCAUCGUUACUUUUGCAGAUUGUUUCUCCAGAAUCGUCGUCUAAACACGUCAGAUGACUUCCAUCAGGAUUAAUCUCUUCAUGACCUUCUGAUGCUGAAUCCUGGUGAUUAGUAACAGUCUCAUCUGCAAAAUCCAUGCCAUAAUCCACAAAGCUAGGUGAAUCCAGGACAGUAUCUGCUUUCUCUCGAAUAGAGAACUUAAGUACACCGGAACAACUGCCACAUCUCACUUGAUAUCUUUGACGUUUUCCUUGGGGAGACACUUGAGGAAGCUGUAGAAGUUCCAAGCAAUAGGAACAAGUUGCAAAAGGUGCACCGCCGGCUGAAGGGAGAAUAUGGCGCUUCACUACCGGAUUCCUUUCCCUGACAUACCGUUUUUUGUUCCUUAGAAUGCUCUUUUCACUACUUGUGUCACUCUUAGAAAUCCCUACAGAAUGCUCAGAGUAUGUAGAGCGGUGUGGCGCAGCAGCUGGUACAUAACUACGCUCAGAGUACACAGAGUGAUGCGGGGUUUCAGAUCUACUUGGUUCAUAAAGAUUAUGAUACUGAAGAUCAUGUAGCUGAGACUGAGAAGACCUGUGAUAGUACUUUCCAUCAGAUGUCUCACCCGGAAAACGAGUAGGUGAAGCAACAGAAGAUUCUUGAAACCAGCCUUCUCUGCUAUACUGCUCGAAUUGGUUUGGUUGUUGAUGAUAAUAAGACUGCUCUGAUGCAGAAACGUAAGACCCGUGAAAAGGACUACUGUAGCCAUAUUCAUAUGCAGAAGAAGGGGAAGGACUUGCUGGAUAGAAAGGAACCCGAGGUGGAUCUGCGUAUCUUCCCUCAUGUUGUGCCCAUUGCGCAGCAUUGCUGCGUGUGUUAUAUGGAGAGCUUCUUUCUGAAGUAAACACAUCAGAAUCACCGGUCUCACUGAAGUCAUCAGUCCUUCUCAUCCAUUCUCUGCGGAUAUCAGAUGUCUCAGGCUUGUAAACAGUUUCUGGAUGAUAACCUCUUUCAACAGAAGUCGAUGGCCUUGAAUUGUACUCCCGGUGAGUAGUUCUCAUUGGAGUUCUACUACCAUCUUCUGGAGAUUCUACCUCAGCACUUAAACUACGGUUUUGAGAAGAAAGGAGAGCCUCAGGAAUAGUGUUUGUGUGAUCAUUGCCGUCAGGUUCCCAACGUUUUGCUGCAUCCAAAGAAAGAACACACGAAAAAAGAAAACACUUAUGAAUGAGGUGGGUUACUUGUAAACAUGCUACUUAAGAAGGCUGUUGUACCAUGAAGAAUCGAGUCGCAUCCACCACAUUUGUAAGAAGUAGCAUCUAAAGGUUCCUGGAGAAGUUUGUGGCACUUAGGACAUCUCACGAUUCUAGAUUGAGAAGAUAAUCCGGGCACGGUUCUACUCCUCAUACCUCUGAACAUAUGCUUCAAGUCUUUACUACUUGCCAACUACCAAAAAAAAAGAUAAAAGACAAGCACUUCAGCUCAAAUCCAGAACUCAAGAACCUGUAACAGGAAAAAUCAAAGAUCUAAGAGAGAGAGAGAGGAAGAAGAUGAGAAGUCACCUUAGAACGGAUAAUGGAGAGGAGCCUAGGUGAAGGUGAAGAAUCUGAGGAUGGUUCAAAAGUUUUCUUGGUAGAAGAAGACUGGGAUCUGCUCUGUUUCUUCUUCUUCAUCAUGGUUUGGUGAUUGACUUAACUCUGAUGAAUGAUCUUUUUCUUUUUUCUUUCUGGGAAUAAAACUUUGUUGAUGAUCUUUCAAGCAAGCAAGUAGGAGGAGGAGAUAUAUUAUUAUAUGAAUCAGAUCAGGCACUAUAAUGAAUAAUGGUCAAGGUGAUGAAGGUUUUAACAGACUUGUUUAUUGACUAUUAUUUUGCUUCUUUCAAUUUAUUUCUUUUCAAGAAAAUUAAGAUCUGAGAGUUGCAUUGAGUAGUCACCAUUGGAUUUGGAAGUUGAGGUCCAGUUCCUCUAGUAUUAACGAUUUGGAUUUUGAAAAGUCAACUUUGGAGAUCGCCAAGAAACAUCCCUUUAUUAUAAUUUCUAGAUCA
rnacentral:lncRNA from 1 species